GCCGGGGUGGCGGAACUGGCAGACGCAAGGGACUUAAAAUCCCUCGGGAGAGUGAUCUCCGUACCGGUUCGAUUCCGGUCCUCGGCACCA
rnacentral:tRNA from 1 species